UACAGAGGGCGCGAGCGUUGUCCGGAAUCACUGGGCGUAAAGGGCGCGUAGGCGGCCUGGUAAGUAGGGGGUGGAAAUCCUGCGGCUUAACCGCAGGGCUGCCUUCUAAACUGUCAGGCUCGAGCACGGUAGAGGCAGAUGGAAUUCCCGGUGUAGCGGUGGAAUGCGUAGAGAUCGGGAAGAACAUCAGUGGCGAAGGCGGUCUGCUGGGCCGUUGCUGACGCUGAGGCGCGACAGCGGUGGGGAGCAAACAGG
rnacentral:rRNA from 1 species